UGGGUGCGUGUCAGAGUGGGCGCUCCCUAAUUUGCGAGGAUCUUUGUUUACGGAGAACAGAGAUCAACACGUGGAGCAGAGACGCCAUGUAAACUGUGUUUGUGAUGCUUGAGCCUUGGAAACUAUUUGUCUACAUCUUGAACCCAUCUGCAUUGGUUACAUGGGUUCAGCGACGCGGCUUUCCAAUGUGGAAGCAUUCGCCCUCCAAACAACCGGGCUGCCAUGUGCAGAACUCCUCAGUCACACCAGACAAACUCAACAAUGGAGGUGGCUGUGUGUGUGUUUACCCAGUGAAGGCUCUCCAGCCGUCAGACGCUGCAGCAUGGGGUUGAGGGUGCCGAUGAAGAAGUAAUGUCUGAGCUGCAUCACCGCCAGCCAAACCGUGUGCCACACAAAGAGCCUGGACAUCAAAGACUCACGGAAACUCUUCUCUGAGAGAGACGAGGGGAAUCCACAGAGAUAGAUGAGUGAAGAGAAAAGAAUAAAGAUGAACAGAAAUAGGCAUAUUGCUUAAUUAUUUUAUUAUGUUACAUUUAACUAUGUAGGCUAUUAAUCCAUGCCACAGUAAAGUGAACACACCUUGUUUCACAGAGACGUCCUCGACUUCCUCUGCCGUCGUCUGUGAGUUACCAUUCGCUGUUAUGUGCUCUAAGCUCAGACUCUUUGAUUUGCCGCAGGUUAUCCUGUCCAAGGUCACAGUGGGUUAGCCACAGACGUUCUUUGAUAAUUAUUUACUUAACAAAUUAAGUUUUGAGUCAUAACCAGCUAUAAUCACAUAACAGGAUAUGAAGGAUAUUUCUAAGUAAUGUGGAACGAUGAUUAUGUGAAAAUUAAAUGUGCUGGUAAGAUAUUAAACGUGAUUGUUUUUGCAAGAAACUUUAA